GCCAGAGCCAUAUCUCCCUGCAGUUCUCGCCUGGUUUCCCACUGGUGCUAAGCAGGGCUGAGUCUGGCCAGUACCUGGAUGGGAGACCUCCUGGGGAAAACUAAGGUUGUUGCUGGAA
ensembl:rRNA 5S_rRNA 5S ribosomal RNA